rnacentral:rRNA from 1 species
GACGAACCGUGCGAACGUUAUUCGGAAUCAUUGGGCUUAAAGGGCGCGUAGGCGGCUCGGCACGUCCGUUGUGAAAUCGCCCGGCUCAACUGGGCGGGGUCAGCGGAUACGGUCGAGCUUGAGCAAGCUAGGGGGUAAUGGAAUUCCCGGUGUAGUGGUGGAAUGCGUAGAUAUCGGGAGGAACACCAGUGGCGAAGGCGGUUACCUGGGGCUUUGCUGACGCUGAUGCGCGAAAGCGUGGGGAGCGAUCCGG